rnacentral:sRNA from 1 species
UCACGUAAAAAGAACGCUGGAAGAAAGU